rfam:Schistosoma haematobium scaffold665_4, whole genome shotgun sequence.
AACCUUCUGAAUAUGUAUCGAGAUUUCAUCAAAAACCAAAUCAUCAGUACUGAUGAGACCCCCAAGAUAAGUGAAGUG